rnacentral:rRNA from 1 species
UAACGGCGAUGUGAACAGAGAUUAGCCCAACAUCGAAGCCUCCAUGCAUUUGUGUGGACGGCAAUGUGAUGUAAUGGUGUUCGACUUCGCAGGCUGGCUAACUUGAAGUCCAUAUUUGACUGUGGCUUGUGCGUAUGCACCCAGAGAUGGUGAAAGGCCCGUUCAGGUUGGUAUUCAGAUAUGACAGCUUGUGUAGAUUCGUUCACCAGUGAGUCGGAUUGCUUGAGAGUGCAGUCCAAAUGUGGUGGUAAACUCCAUCAAAGGCUAAAUACCUGUACGAGUCCGAUAGACAACAAGUACCGUGAGGGAAAGUUGAAAAGUACUCUGAAGAGAGAGUAAAUAGUACGUGAAACUACAUGGAGGUUAAACAGAUGGAGUCAAGCUGUGUGUUGUUGUUCAUUGCAUGAGUCAUAGAGUUUUACUGAAAAGCGUGUCAUUUGAUAGUCGUCAGACUUGUCCUUUUGUGGACAUCUGGAUAUUAAUUUAUCUAGAGUUCUGUGGCAUGCUUAUAUGACUUGUGUUUAUGGCAAUGACAGGUGCCACAGUCAAUUGGCUUUCUGGCAGCCAGUAUUCAGCAUUUGCGCAGGUUGAACAAAGUUCAUUUGUGCAAUAGUUAAACAGUUGGCAGUCGCUCAUGCUUGCAUGAUUGAUUGUCAAAAAAGGCUACGGCCCGUUGAGUACUGGCUUGUUAUGAGGCUGAUUGGUGAUACAUGUUCAUUAAAUUCGUUAGGUCUGACAAUUCUGUUGGAGGGCUUUAUGAAUGAAUGUAUGAACUGUGGUAUUGCGGUAGACU